GGUUCCAUGGAACAUGCAUAUCCUGAGGUGCUCAGAAAACUUCAAAAAAGGUUACGGCCAAACAAAUUUCAGAGAUGCAUAUUUGCUUUUCCAGCUCUGUCUUCUUCGUCUAAUGAGACCACGGUUUCACUAGGGACCACAUGAGGGAAGAGAACAAGUUGACCCUGGCGCACUGGAGGACAUGAAGCAAUCCAGGCAGCAGACAUGUGCGUUACAUCUGGGUUACAUAGGAAUAAAUUUAUGAAGACAUUGGAGUGAAGAGAAAAUAACUGUUUAACGAGCUGCAAGUUAGGAAAACAAAUUCUUCUAGAAGUCCUUCUGUUGUACUGCACACAACUGAAUUCUAAAAUUCAUCUUCCUUUAAACUCUAAACAAGAACAAUAUUAAGACUAAAUUGCAGAUAAGCCCUACAAAGUGAAAUCUCAUAUUAGGAUAAUGUAUGGACUCAGAGAAGAAGAGGAAGAGCAAAGUAUUUUCUUAAACUGAAUUAGCUAGUAAUGAAAACAACCUUAAAUAUUACUACUACUGCUUCUACUUCUUCUACCACUACUAACAGUAUUAGCAGUGAUCAUUUACUGUGUGCCAGGCAUGAAACUCAAUCCCUACAUGUAUUAUCACACAUAAAUAUCACAACAGUCCCCUUAGCCUCAUUGUACAUAUGGAAAAAUGACACAAAGUAUAUGAGAUCAAAUGCUAUAGCAUAAAUAGGCUCAUUCUGCUACUCCUACAAUUCUAAAAUUAUUUCACAAUUCUAGCAAAGACAUAUUAGAGUUAGUAGGACAGUGUUUCCUUGAGGACUUGGACUGUAAUUUUUUUUAGUAUUUCUCCUAGUCCUUUGCAUAAUCAGACCCUUAAGAAAUGUUUAUUUAUUUCACUGAUUUUUAGCAGUCUUUGAAACCACUCACUUUUUUAAAAAGUAGGCAUAGAAAAUCCUGUAUUUCCUGUGUGCUUAGUUUACUCAAAAUCCAAGCAACAUUUGAAUAUCUACCACGUAUCAGGUACGGUGCUGGCCAUGGAAGGGCAGAUGAAGAUGCCUAAGGCACGGUCCUUCCCAUCAAGAAGAUCAUAGUUACAAUAAGUCAAUCUAAUCUUCUAUUCAAAGCAUUGUUAAUUCAUCAGCAACAUCAACACUACCUGGGAGUUUGCUAUACAUGCAGAAUCUCACACUCCAUGACAGAGUUCCUGAAACUACAUUUUAACAAGAUCCCCACGUUUUUCAUGUGCACAUUGAAAAGUUGGAGAAGCACUCUUCUAGCGCACUCAUGAGGCAUAAAGUAGCUUAAACUAAUUAACAAAAUUAACUAAUCUUUACAUCUAUUUGGCAGUGAAGCCAAGUGUAACCCCAAAAGGAGAAUUAGGCCCAGAGAUUUUGCAGCACAUGGUGGUCACAGCAGCCUGAAGAACCAGAGAGGGAAAAGCAGCAGGAAGCAAAAGGGCUAGAGAAGCAGAGAUGUGUCAUAUUUAGAAGUCUGGCAAUUAGCUCCUGUCACAUUUAGAAGCCUGUGAUUCGCAACCUGAACAUGCUCGUUACAGAAAAGGAGAGAGAGAAAGCAAAUAAAGUGAGAGAGGACACAAGCGAUCUGCAGACCGGUGGAACAAAACAAGAAGGGGAGUGCUGGGCUGUGACAGGUGUGGAUGGCAGUCUGAGCAGUCUGUCCCCUUAACAACUUGAUGAUACUGUUGAAAUUGGUCCAGUGGACAGUGAUUGUCAACUGCGCUCCAGGUCAUGGAUUUAAGUGGUAGUAGCGGGAAUGGAAAGAAAGGUCGAAUGUGAGAUGUGCUGCGAAGGAAGAUCAAAAAGAAGGGGAGAUUGUAUUUGACGUGAAGAAUGGAGGAGGGGAAUGGAGUCAAGAUUCCAUCUUGCAUGUGAAGAAGAGGAUCCAGGGACUUAAGAGAAGUCAUGAGGGGUGUAAGUCAAAGCAUCAGUUGGAAUUUUUCUCGGAGAGAUACGGCAGUAGUCAGAAAAGCUGAGGCUGGUGCUAGGAGAGCUAAAGCUAACAUAAGCUAAGAGAAUGAGGUAAGGGUAGUAGAAUGAGUUGUAUAAUCAGUAGCUAUAAAAGGUCAUAUAAACUGAGUAUGUUUACAGUAAGAAGUUCAAGAAGCUAACAAGUCUUGGAACAGGGUUUUGAAUCAUGAUAUGCCUUUAAGGACAUGCCUGGAAGUUUUCCAACCCUUUGAUUCUAUGAUUCUAAGACUUUGUGGAGAAGCA